UACGGAGGGUGCAAGCGUUAUCCGGAUUUACUGGGUUUAAAGGGUGCGCAGGCGGAUAUGUAAGUCAGUGGUGAAAAUCUUCCCGCUUAACGGGAAAACUGCCAUUGAUACUAUAUAUCUUGAAUGCUGUGGAGGUAAGCAGAAUAUGUCAUGUAGCGGUGAAAUGCUUAGAGAUGACAUAGAAUACCUAUUGCGAAAGGCAGCUUACUACGCAGAUAUUGACGUCAUGCACGAAAGCGUGGGGAUCAAACAGGA
rnacentral:rRNA from 1 species